rnacentral:sRNA from 1 species
UUCACUCGGGUUGCUGCCAAAAUUCUC